AUUGAACGCUAGCGGGAUGCUUUACACAUGCAAGUCGAACGAGAGGCGGACGGGUGAGUAAUAUCUCGGAAAGUGCCCAGUAGCGGGGGAUAACUACUCGAAAGAGUGGCUAAUACCGCAUACUCUUGGAGCGGCCGAGAUCGGAUUAGCUAGUUGGUGGGGUAAAGGCUCACCAAGGCAACGAACCGUAGCUGUUUUGAGAGGACGAUCAGCAACACUGGAACUGAGACACGGCCCAGAAGCAUACGGGAGGCAGCAGUGGAGAAGUGUGGACAAUGGGGGGAAUCCGGAUCCAGCCAUCCCGCGUGUAUGAGAAGGCCUUCGGGUUGUAAAGUACUUUUGGCAGGGAAGCGGUAUCUGCAGAAUAAGCACCGGCUAACUACGUGCCAGCAGCCGCGGUAAUAC
rnacentral:rRNA from 1 species